CGUCAAAGCUUAAUUAUAACAUUCAAUAAAUCCCCCAAACAAAUUAGAACCCUACCCCAAUACUGAAUAAUUCCAUAUAUUUAUGGAAGCUAUUAUGUUAAAACUAGUAACAUGAAGAUAUCUUCUCUCAAAUAUAAACGUAAGUCAGGAUGAACUACACACUGACAAUUAACAGCUUAAACUAAAGUGAUAACCAAUCCAAGAAAAUCUCACUAACCCAUCUGUUAACCUAACACAAGAAUAUUUAAAGAACGACCCAAAGAAAAAGAAGGAACUCGGCAAAAGCUGAUUCCGCCUGUUUACCAAAAACAUCGCCUCCCGAAUAUAAAUCAUAGGAGGUCCAGCCUGCCCAGUGACUCUGUUUAACGGCCGCGGUAUCCUAACCGUGCGAAGGUAGCAUAAUCACCUGUUUUUUAAUUAAAGCCUGUAUGAAAGGCAUCACGAGAAUCACACUGUUUCCUUUUUCAAGUCAGUGAAACUAAUCUCCUCGUGAAAAAGCGAGGAUACCUCUACAAGACGAGAAGACCCUUUGGAGCUUAAGACAAAUAAAUAUUUGCCCUCUUAUGACCCCCCCCCCGCACCUCACAGCAUUAUGUUUACAAGUCUUGGGUUGGGGCAACCGCGGAAUAAAAACAAACCUCCGAGCUGAACGGAAAUUUCCUAAACAAAAAGCAACAGCUUUAUGUAUCAACAAACUGACACAAUUUGACCCAAUAUAUUUUGAUUAACGAACUAAGUUACCCUAGGGAUAACAGCGCAAUCCACUUCAAGAGUUCAUAUCGAAAAGUGGGCUUACGACCUCG
rnacentral:rRNA from 1 species